rnacentral:rRNA from 1 species
GCGUUCAUACCAGCACUAAUGCACCGGAUCCCAUCAGAACUCUGAAGUUAAGCGUGCUUGGGCGAGAGUAAUACUAGGAUGGGUGGCCCCCUGGGAAGUCCUCGUGUUGCACCCC